rnacentral:rRNA from 1 species
GGAAUCUUGCGCAAUGGGCGAAAGCCUGACGCAGCAACGCCGCGUGCGGGAAGAAGGCUUUCGGGCUGUAAACCGCUUUCAGCAGGAACGAAAAUGACGGUACCUGCAGAAGAAGGAGCGGCCAACUAUGUGCCAGCAGCCGCGGUGAUACAUAGGCUUCAAGCGUUGUCCGGAUUUAUUGGGCGUAAAGAGUUCGUAGGCGGUCAAGUAAGUCGGGCGUGAAAAUUCUGGGCUCAACCCAGAGACGCCACCCGAUACUGCUUAACUUGAGUUCGAUAGGGGAGUGGGGAAUUCCUAGUGUAGCGGUGAAAUGCGCAGAUAUUAGGAGGAACACCGGUGGCGAAGGCGCCACUCUGGAUCGAUACUGACGCUGAGGAACGAAAGCAUGGGUAGCAAACAGGAUUAGAUACCCUGGUAGUCCAUGCCGUAAACGGUGGGCACUAGGUGUGGGAUUCUAUUAACGAAUUCCGCGCCGUCGCUAACGCAUUAAGUGCCCCGCCUGGGGAGUACGGUCGCAAGACUAAAACUCAAAGGAAUUGACGG